GUUGCUUAGGGCCUAGCUAAAUAGCUGAGGCUGGCUCUGAAUCUUUACCUGCUCCCUUAGCCUCCUGAACCACUGGGAUUACAGGUGGGCACCACUGCACCGGCCUCAAGUAAGAUUUUAACGUGAGCCAGACACUCUUGGUCUGGGGAUCAAAUCCUGAAUGUGCUAGGUAAUCUAGAAAUUUGCUCUUAUAUGUGGGACAUGCAUUCAACACUCUCUCCUGUGAAUGAACUUAUCAAAGUGAUAUGGACAUGGAGAAAAUGGGUGCAUUAAUUCUGUCUGAAUGAGUCCGGAAGUUACAAAAUAACAGUUGAAUUUGGUCUUGAACAAUAGAAGAAUGAGAAUUUUCCAGAAGUUUUUGGAGGUGUGGGACAUGAUGGUCCCAGCAAACACAAGCAAACACCGCAGCAGUUACAACUGGUUUCCUUCCACAGCAUUGAGGUUAGUUGAACUGACCCAUGUCCAAUGGUGGGUUGGAGCCUGCUUGUGAAUAGAUGUGUGUGACCUUAUGAGUUUUGCUCAGCGAUGAUGGGAACGACUGAUGGAUUUUAGAAGAGUUGAC
rnacentral:lncRNA from 1 species